rnacentral:rRNA from 1 species
CCCUUAGAUGUUCUGGGCUGCACGCGCGCUACACUGACACACUCAGCGAGUCUCCUGGCCCGAGAGGGUUGGGUAAUCAUGUGAGCGUGUGUCGUGAUGGGGAUAGAAUAUUGUAAUUAUUGCUCUUCAACGAGGAAUUCCUAGUAAGCGCGAGUCAGCAGCUCGCGCUGAUUACGUCCCUGCCCUUUGUACACACCGCCCGUCGCUCCUACCGAUGGGGUGAUCCGGUGAAUGAUUCGGACUUCCGCAGUGCUAGCUACUAGCUUUGUGGAAGAAAGUCUUGUGAACCUUNUNACUUGUNGGAAGGAGAANUCGUANCA